GAUGAUCGCUGGCGGCGUGCCUAAUACAUGCAAGUCGAGCGAACGGACGAGAAGCUUGCUUCUCUGAUGUUAGCGGCGGACGGGUGAGUAACACGUGGAUAACCUACCUAUAAGACUGGGAUAACUUCGGGAAACCGGAGCUCAUACCGGAUAAUAUUUUGAACCGCAUGGUUCAAAAGUGAAAGACGGUCUUGCUGUCACUUAUAGAUGGAUCCGCGCUGCAUUAGCUAGUUGGUAAGGUAACGGCUUACCAAGGCAACGAUGCAUAGCCGACCUGAGAGGGUGAUCGGCCACACUGGAACUGAGACACGGUCCAGACUCCUACGGGAGGCAGCAGUAGGGAAUCUUCCGCAAUGGGCGAAAGCCUGACGGAGCAACGCCGCGUGAGUGAUGAAGGUCUUCGGAUCGUAAAACUCUGUUAUUAGGGAAGAACAUAUGUGUAAGUAACUGUGCACAUCUUGACGGUACCUAAUCAGAAAACCACGGCUAACUACGUG
rnacentral:rRNA from 1 species